rnacentral:rRNA from 1 species
AUGACUGGAAGGAAACUUGGGACAGGAACCAGGCGUAGUGGAUUGUGGUAUAUGAAUCGUGAUGUGUCUAGGUCUGGUGCUAGUCCUAUUUUGGCUGUACUAGUUGGAGUAAGUGAGACAAUAGCGAUGAUCCAUCACUGUCGCAUGGGGCAUAUGGCUUUUGAUAAGAUGAGUAAGAUGUUUCCUGAUGUAAUGCGUGGAGUAGACAAGAGUAAGCUUGUGUGUGAUGCAUGUGAAUAUGCAAAGCACACAAGAAUCUCAUAUUUGAGUAAGGGGCUAAGGAGUAUAUCCCCGUUUAUGCUGAUCCACUCUGAUGUGUGGACAUGUCCUGUUGUUUCUGUUAGUGGAAUGAAAUAUUUUGUGACAUUUAUAGACUGCCACACUCGCAUGACUUGGGUGUACCUCAUGCGACAUAAAGAUGAGGUAUUCCAAUGUUUUCAGGAGUUUUAUGCCUAUGUGCGAAACCAAUUCAAUGUGCAGGUGCAGGUGAUCAGAUCUGACAAUGGAACUGAAUAUGUAAACAAGCAAUUUGGAGGUUUCCUGUCAGCACAAGGCAUAAUGCACCAAACAUCAUGUCCAGAUACCCCUGCUCAGAAUGGUGUUGCAGAAAGGAAAAACCGACACAUUUUAGAAGUGGCUCGAUCACUUAUGUUCACCAUGAAUGUGCCAAAAUUCUUGUGGAGUGAAGCUGUCAUGACUGCAACGUUCCUGAUCAACCGGAUGCCUUCAAAAAUGCUUGGUAUGAAGUCCCCAUGUGAGAUGCUAUUUGGGGAGAACAAAUUCUCAGUUCCUCCGAAGUUAUUUGGGUGCACCUGCUUCGUUAGAGAUCACAGACUAGCAGUGGGAAAGCUGGAUCCACGAGCUGUAAAAUGCAUAUUUGUUGGAUAUCCUGCAGGGCAGCGAGGCUAUAAGUGUUGGAGUCCUGCUGAAAGGCGCACAUUUGUAAGUAUGGAUGUCACCUUUCGAGAAUCUGAGCCUUUCUAUGGUGAGAAGACAGAUCUCAGCACUUUAUUCGAAGAACUUGACCACUCACAAUCUAUGCAGGGUGGUCAAGAGGGGGAGUGCAACUUGAGUGGUGAGUGCAGCACCCUAUGUUUUUAA